UACGUAGGGUGCGAGCGUUGUCCGGAAUUAUUGGGCGUAAAGGGCUCGUAGGCGGUUUGUCGCGUCGGGAGUGAAAACACCGGGCUUAACUCGGUGCUUGCUUUCGAUACGGGCAGACUAGAGGUAUGCAGGGGAGAACGGAAUUCCUGGUGUAGCGGUGAAAUGCGCAGAUAUCAGGAGGAACACCGGUGGCGAAGGCGGUUCUCUGGGCAUUACCUGACGCUGAGGAGCGAAAGCGUGGGGAGCAAACAGG
rnacentral:rRNA from 1 species